rnacentral:snRNA from 1 species
AUGCCUGACUGUCUAGUAGCAGUUUAAUAUCUGAUAUGUCCUUUAUCUGAAGACAAUCUAUUAAACACAUUUUUGGAAUGGGGUGCUGGACUUAGGCACUUGUUCCUUCCACUCCACUCAUUGAAUUGGUUUUGCAAUAUCUCCAGGACUGGUGGGGGGAAA